rnacentral:hammerhead_ribozyme from 1 species
GCACUUCUGAAGAGUCCCAAACUAGGACGAAACAGCUGUCCAGUAC